AGGAACCACAGGGAUGGAGUGCAGAACACUGGUGGGUAGACUUUUGGCAGCAAUCAUCGCAAUAGUUUUAAUGAGAGGAAAACACAUUCUCAAGUAAAUUAGAGAGUAAUGACAUGAUUAAAUGGUAAAUAACAGUUAAAUACAUGCUUGGAGGUCCAGGAUAGAGACUGUGGAGUUUUUGUAUUUUGGGUGUAUUCCUCUCAAGGCUGCUCUGAAUAGCCAAAGGAGCUCACCAGAACUCUGCCUGUAAUUUGGGGUCAGAUUGUAGCUUUUAAGACGCUGAAGCUGAAAGAGCUGUUGGGGCCCUGCUGCAGCAGGAGACUUGCUGAGGCUUUCUCCAUAACCCCAGAGCCUUGCCAGCCUUUUGGUUGUUGACGUGUCCUCGUUUUUGCAGGAGCUGCCUCCCCUGAGCAAGGGCCAGUGCUACGGCUCUGCUCAGCUCAGGCUGCUGUCACCCAGAACGACCGUGCGGGAGACAUCUGCUCUCCUUACGUGCAGCGAGGGAGAGGGAAGGGGUCUGUCUUCUUCCGAGGCAGGUUUAGACCCCAUUAGGUGUACAGUUGUUCAUACAUGCUACUUUUUUGUCAGCAAAAAGCAAACCAACUGAUCAAGCCUUAAGUUUGUCCUGGAAAAUUUCUUUGGAAAAUAUGCUUGUAAUUUUUGUUUUUUUGAAUAUUUGGUGACCUUCUUCACUAGAACAUGAAAAAAAGGGUGGUGAUUUUCCUGUCUUUAAAGA